rnacentral:rRNA from 1 species
CCUACGGGAGCAGCAGUGGGGAAUUUUGGACAAUGGGCGCAAGCCUGAUCCAGCAAUGCCGCGUGAGUGAAGAAGGCCUUCGGGUUGUAAAGCUCUUUUGUCAGGGAAGAAACGGCUGAGGAUAAUACCUUCGGCUAAUGACGGUACCUGAAGAAUAAGCACCGGCUAACUACGUGCCAGCAGCCGCGGUAAUACGUAGGGUGCAAGCGUUAAUCGGAAUUACUGGGCGUAAAGCGUGCGCAGGCGGUUUUGUAAGUCUGUCGUGAAAGCCCCGGGCUCAACCUGGGAAUUGCGAUGGAGACUGCAAGGCUUGAAUCUGGCAGAGGGGGGUAGAAUUCCACGUGUAGCAGUGAAAUGCGUAGAGAUGUGGAGGAACACCGAUGGCGAAGGCAGCCCCCUGGGUCAAGAUUGACGCUCAUGCACGAAAGCGUGGGGAGCAAACAGGAUUAGAUACCCUGGUAGUCCACGCCCUAAACGAUGUCUACUAGUUGUCGGGUUUUAAUUAACUUGGUAACGCAGCUAACGCGUGAAGUAGACCGCCU